UAUGGCCAAACUGCUGAUUCUCCAAAUCAGGAUCAAAUCUUCACAUUUGGAUUUGGCCGAAUCAAAUCAGGGACAGUGAUCCAAAUCAAUGAAUCAAAUGACUGUCUCCGAUUCAGGCAAAAUCCAAAUCUGAAUCAAAUAGGGCCCACUUCUCACACCCCUAGUAAUUACUCCUGAUUGGAGAAACAACCAGCAUCGCUGCCCACCACCCUGGGAGUAACAGAGCACACCCUGUGCUCUAGUCCACCAUUAAACUUCUCAUACGUGGUGUCCCAAAAGAUUCAAUUCUCCUUCUAUAUUCAAACAUUAGGUAGAAACAGAAAUAUGCAAAUGACACAGAGGUCCCUUAUCACAUACAAGCCAGAUAUACAUAUAAACUGAUCUAAGUGAUUGGAAAUUGAUCCAAACCCAUAACCAUACAGAAAUUUGGUGUACAUAGACUGCUCUAAAAAUGGCGUAACCCGGUCUAAGAUCUGUUUGAUGCACACUCAGAUAUAAUCAAUUUAGGUUAGACCAAACUUCUGUACCAGAUCCCUUACCAAUUCAAGUUAGAUCACUGUUUUCCAGUAUUCCAGGUUCCUUUGUGGCCCCCACAACCCUCCCUCCUCACAGAAAGGCAUGCUAGCACUCAGCUGGAGUAAUUGCUCAGUCAAGCUCUAGUGAAGUGCCCAGCAGGACCUACCCCCUGAGCUCUCCCAGAGCCAAGCAGGCACAGACUCUCUCCCUAGGCCCCCCCUCCUGCCAUCUGUCAGCUACAGGCAGGUAGCGGGAGGGAGAGGGGAAAGGGUGUACUAUGAAUACUAGGGUGGAGAGGGUGUGUGCAGGGGCAGUGGCUUGGGGGCAUGCUCAACCAUGCCCAGUAGCCAAUCAGGGAUGGCCAAUGCACUCCACAGUCUCUGGCAGCCUGGGGAGUCCAAAGGGCACUCCCACAGGUUGGAGGCCAACAGGUUGGAGUGCCCCCAACCUGUCGGCCUCAGUCCAGGAAGCAUGUGUGCCCACUCCUGAAGGUGAACACGUGUUCUGUUUGUUACUUAUCUAGCCUAGGCUGAUUAUAGAAACCUGUGUAGAUUAUAUUUGUUCCUCCUCAGGCUUUUUGAACAUUUGUACCUGGCCACCAUCUCAAUACUAUCACUAAAUUUGCUCAGUGAAGCUCAACCCAAGCUAGAAUGGUGAUCCUAAUACACAAAGGAAAGCAUCUUGAAGAGUUCACCACCCUAAGGCAUAUACCUUAGGUACACAUCCACAGUUGAUCAGUUUGCUUGUAGUUCAGGAACUUGCUUGGAUUUCAUUCUGAUACCUAGUUCUCAUGCAGAAAUAAUUACUUGCUGAUACUGCUGUCACUACUGCUUGACUAGAGAAUCUAACCCAUCCUGCCAGGUGAUGACCUGGCUUCAGUAAUUCAUGGCUUUAGCAUCUUUUGGCUGAGCUGUAGCGCUGCUGUAUAUCUGACCACAAAUAUCUGUACCAGCAACAAUUUCCUAAGCACUGAACAUAGUUCAACAUGCCUCCUUUGCGGCACAGGCUAUCACGAAUGCUUCAAACCUGACCUCUAUAAUCUUCACUCAUUUCCCAUAUAGUAUUGAGUCAAGCUAAAGGUCUCAGUCCUUAUCUUCAGGGAUCUCGAAGACUAACAUAAAAACUCAGGCACAGAUGUCUAUACCUUAGACAUUACUCAUCCACAGAACUUUCCUGGAGGUAGAACGAACUCCUCCAGGAGCCAAAAACCAUCGCAAGCUUUUUCACUUUCUUUAAGAACAGGAUACUUUGGCAACUGGAGCAGGUUAAGAGUAUCCUUUGGGGAUGGUAGGGGAACUGGCCUGGUAAUCCCCAGAUUGUGGGGGAAAAAAUGGUCCAUCCUGUCUACCACCUUCAUCAAGUGUCUAAGCACUUUUUAAGUACAGCUUUGAAUGUGGCUCAUUAUGGCAUGAACAAUAUGAACAUUUAAGAUAUCUAGGCUAAGCCUGUUUCACUAGUUGUUUAUCAUAAGGAAAUGAGCACUGAAAUGAGAACUUGUUUGGCCUGAUGGAUCGUGCAUAAUUUAUCAUUAAAUACAGGUACUUAAGCGUAAAUAAUGUUAAGGGUUUGACUUCAGCUGACAUACAUAUUAAAACAAAAAUACCCUGACAAAACAAGAUACUGUGCUGCCACUCUUCUCCCUCUGGGGAGAGCAUGAGAAAGCAAACAUGUAACAGAUGUUACUCACAUCAGUUAAUGCACUAUUGUAAGGUGCUCAGUUAAUACACAGUGAUUAUCAUGGCACAAGAACCUUCAUAGAAUAAGUAAGAAUUCUCCUGAUCAUACUAUCUUAUACAUUGGCCACAAAAGUUCGCAAUAGUUUUAGGGUCCACCAUGGUAACCUUUCAUUAUCAAAGAUUCCCCCAAAGAUCAAGUAAGCAAACUUCAGAGAGGACAAUCACCAGCAGAAGAAUGCAACUUCUCUAUCCAACCAUAGAGCAUGCCCACAGUAUUCCUUGCAUUAUAAACAGUAUAGGUCCAUGAUAUUCAUGUAAAUGGGAUCCUCUGAAAAUGAAUCUCUCCAUCCCUUAUGCCAGUGGUGCUCAAUCAUUUGGUCCUAUGGGCUAGAGGACUGGCACGGAGCCCAUCUGUAGGCCAGAUCAGGCCAUCUGCAGGACAGAUUGGGCUUUGGGGCCUGGAUCCAUCUCCUUCCAGCCUCCCCACACCGAGAUCAGGCCCUGGGACCCAGUGCUACCCCAAGCCAGCCCUGCAUGCUAGGAUUGGACACCAGAUCCAGCACACAAGGCCUGGGGUCUCCAUGGGUCUGGAGAUUUGGCAGUGGGAAAGCAGUGCCACUGAACUUCUGCUACUGAGUUUCUGGACCCAUGAGGAGCCCCGCAGGCUGAAUGACACUCUACCACAGGCUGGAUUUGUGCUGCAGCCGGGAGGUUGGGCACCCCUGUCUUAUGCAAUGACAGAGUUCAACCACCAACCCUGGCAGCAUUCCUUGUCCUUCUCUUAUGCUGUGCUGGGGGCUUUCUGCAGCCUCUAGGGUAUAUGCUGGGGUAUAGACCAAUUCACUAGUGAAAGACUGGAGGAAUUUGACUGACUGCCUCUGUACAGAAGAAGGUGAGAAAUGGAGCAGUUUCCUCUGGCCUUGUCACACCACUAUACAGGGCCAUCCAGAAUUUUAUCCCAAAGAUUCCUAAAAGGAAUAACUCUACUGAACUUGGAGGAUUGUUAAAGUUGACUGUAACAAGGGUAAAUGCUGGAUCACUGCACAUUUUGGCUAAAACAAUACACAAAGUCAAACUGAAGCAGUAAUUUAGGGGGGAAAAAUAACCAUAUUUCUUCAUAAUGGUAAGAAAGGCAGUGUUUACAUUGGAUAUAUUUUUAGCAUGUCUGAGCAAGAUUUUUAACAGCUUGGUCUGGGAAUACUUCACUUGGAAAUGCCCCUGGAAGCAUCCAAUGCUUUUCUACUUAUUUAAUCCUGUGUAAUGAAACUCUAGUAAGUUUUAAAUUGGUUCCAUGUUUUAUCCCCCCACCUGGUAGAAAAGUCCUAAAUUAAUAAUAAUCUAUUCUUUCUGGGUAUAUGGACUUAAAUAUACAAAAUAACAUCAUUUAAUAAAUUGUUAAAUCUCAUACAAAUUAGAAACCAAAGGCACAAAAGCCUUUCUGAAUUAAUCAGAAUCUGUCCCUUAUAGGCAAGGAAAUAAAAAAGAAGUUAGUAUUGUUCUAGUGUUAAUUUCUUAGGAGCAACUCAAAUGAACGAUCAGACAAUUAUAGAAUAGACAAAGAUGCAUUUGUGUGGAAAGUUACUUUCGCAGAAAGAUGAGCUGAAGGUGGCCUUUUUUACUAGCAACCAAAGAACAUGCAAUCACAUCAUUUCUCCCCAAGGAGUUGUAAAUAACUGUAUGCACACUUACAGUCAUAAGUAUGGAAGAACAUUAAUAUUCUGAAAAGUAGUAUCUAAAGAUCCUCAAGGGCAAGGCACAAUGGGCACUGCCUGCCUCUUAUUUCAUUCCACUACACAUCACUGGCAAAGAGGCCAUUUAUCUUUAUGUUCCAAAUUCAAUAAGAAUCUAUGCAGCUCUACACAUGACUGGGGAAGGCUUACAAGUCAGUUGGAAACUGAUUUUAAUUUCAUUGCAUUGGAUGGAGAGCCAAGUUAUCUAUAAAGGCUGAUUUCAAUAAAAGAGACAUCUAUGUUGCACACCAUGGAAGAUGGAUAUAUUUUUAUUGAAUAAGACCCUUAAAGAUAAAUGACUUUGCUAUCAGUGCAGUGCAAUGAAAAUAAUAUUGGAGGCAGACAGUCUCCAAUAUGUCUUGUUCAGAAUCAACAGAGUGAGUGGCAGUGUGACAUAAUACAUUAAAAAAAGAGGAAAAUCAGUGGCAACAGAUAGCAUUUUGUGUUUGUAUCUCUGUUGUAAGGGUUUCUUUAAUGUUGUACAAGAUUUUAUAGCUUAAGACGAUCCUGUCCUAUCACAACCUAAAUGCUGCAUUCAUGCAAACAAAAAUUUUAAAGUAGAAAUAUAAUAAUGCCUCCAACACACAAAAAAUAAUGAUAGAGAUUACACCCAAAUAUUGAGAGACUAUUAUUUUAUCUUUUACAUUUACUGAUAUGUUUUUGACUCAUCCAUUGUUUAGACAGAUUUUGAGCAUCAGGCCUAAAGCUACAGGAGAAUGAAAACUAUUUUUGUUGGAGCUUCGCAGUAAAAAGAGCUAGCUAGCUAGAAUCCUACAGAGGCUGAAGAUGAAGAGUUCUGUCACCUAAGUGGAAUUUCAGAACAUUGUGGGGGUAUCCUUUACUCAGAUAUUUCCUUUGAAGUCCAGGCUUCACAUCAAAGCUGCUUUCCCUGGUGUAGAACUUCAGGAAGAGCAAAGACUGACUCACCUCCAUUGGGAAUAAAGAUGCAGCUUCACCUCCUGACACACAGCAGUGCUGUUUGCACACCUUCCAAAAUGAGAGUAAAUCAAACCCAAUACAGAAAUAAGGGUUUUUCCAUGCUUUCCCUAUGAAAGUCGCUACUGAUUGUAAAUAUAUACUUUUUUGUGUUCCUGAAAAGACAAAAAAAGAUGUUUAUCAAGUUCAACAGCUAAAUCAACUAACAUCUGGCUACAUGGUGCCCACCCUUUGUGUUACAUAAUAGUCAAAGUCAAUGGAAAGCUAAGACAAACAUCUGAGUGUUUCUCCUCCUAUGAGUCUGCAUGUGGCCAGGUAUUGGACAUGUGCAAAGUCCUGUGCUUGGGAUGAACUGAUAGCAUGCACAAAUACAGACUGGGGAAUGACUCAUGGGUGACUGGUGCCUCUUGAGUCAGCAACUGGGGCGGGGGUCCCCUGGCAGCCAAUCUCAAUGACCAGGGGGUGGGGGUCCCCUGGUGGCUGAUACCACUGACCGGGCCAAUCCCAAUGUUGUGGGGGGUCCCCCAGUGCUGACCAGGGAGGGGAGUCCCCUGCAGCCAAUCUCACUCACCAAAAAGCGGCUCACUCAUUUCCGGAAGCGACGUGGCCACUUUUGCUGGCGGUCCUGCUCCCCAGCUUGUGGAGGGGGGCACUGAUGCUCCUGCCUGCCCCCCUGCCUGCCAGCUAAGCAGGGAGUGCACCGGUGCUCUCAGGGGGUGCACAUGCACCUCCCUGCACCUCCUACAUGUCACCACUGGAAUGACUGGCUAGGUUACAGUACUGCAGCAAAGGACCUAGGGGUUACAGUGAACUAUAGAUUGAAUAUGAGCCAAUAGUGUGCUCUUGUUGCAAAUUGUUUUUUAAAAAAAGCCAACAGCAUCCUGUGUUGUAUUAACAAGAGUGUCACUUGCAAAUCAAGAGAAGUAUUUCUUUCACUUGAUUCAGCACCUAGGGUACUAUGUCCAGUAUUGGGCCCACACUUCAAGAAGGAUGUGGACAAUUUAGAAAAAGUCUAGUGUAGGGCAACAGAAAUGAUCAGGAGCCUGAGAGUCAAGACUCAUAAGGAAAAGCAGCAUGAGCUAGGGCUAUUUAGCUUGAAGAAGAGAAGACUAAGAGGGGAUUUGAUAACAGUCUUCAAAUACCUGAAGGGCGAUUAUAUAGAGGAUGGAGAUGGGUUUUUCUCUGUGGCUGUAGGGGACAGGAUUAGGAACAAUAGUCUCAAACUAUAGCAGGGGAAUUCAGGCUGGAAAAUAGGAGGAAUUUUCUGACUGUGGGACUGGUCAGGCGUUAGAACAAGCUCCCUAGAGAAGUUAUGGAAUCUCCAUUCUUGGAAACUUGCAAGAGCAGAUUGGACAGACACUUGGUUGGGAUAGUUUAGCCAGGGCAAAUGUUCUGAAAUACUGUAAUAAAACAAAAUCAAAGCAGAUGAUAUAGGAAAAUAUAUUCUUCAUUGCUUUGUACUGUGAAUCAAACUAUUGCAAAAUUCCAUUGUGUUUUCUGCUUUUCUCCCCUCCCCACCUUCCAUUUUACAUGUAUGAAUAAGGGACAUUUAUGGGAGGAAACACUUUCACGACCAGAUACACAAAAUGCCAUGUCCCUCCCUCACUUAAUUUGGCAUGUUGUAAUUACCAAAUCUUUUCAGUUGGUCUAAAUGGUUAUUCUAUUUUUAAUUUUUUUUCAGGCUGGCAGCCCACUUUAAUGCAUCCAUGUUUAACAAUAGAUCAUUUGAGGCCCGUUUCCACUCCCAUUAAAAUUAAUGGUUAAAUUCCCACCAACUUCAAUAGAUGCAGGACUGAACUCCUUGUCAGACUUAGCAACUGCUGAAAUAUUCAGGAGAAUCUUCAUAUACAUGUGUGUUUCCCAAAUUAUUUUCCAUAAUCCCAAUUACAGAAAACCUUUACAUUUCAUUAACUUAGCAAAAAAGUCUCCUCUCAUCUCAAGUUGCCUUUUCUAGAUGCUGCACCAGAGCAAUCAGCUGAAGCAUCACAUUAUCUAGAGCAAUAGACAGAUUUGGUACUUGACUUUUAUUCAAGAGAAGGAAAAAAUAUUAUAGGCAAGUUUCAGUAAAGCAGUUCCUUAUAGCACUUUGAAAGACAUCAGGUAGAUUCUUCAGUAUGAUCUGGCCACCUUAUUGCCAAAACCUAAUCACUAUAUAUAUCUUGAGUGCAAAUGGCCAGCAAAGAAUUCAUUGUAUGGGAGGAAAGGGAAAAGAAAACACUUCCUUAACAUAAACCUAGAAAAGCCAGUUCCUACCUGACCUGAAAAAUGGGCAGUUCAGAAGAGGGUGACUUUGGGACAGGACAGGAGCAUGAAUGCCAGCAAGCCUAGCUAAUAUUACACUCAACCGGGGGUGACUGGUGCCUCCUGAGUCUGCGGGGGCAAAAUUUGUGGGUGGGCCUGGGGACGGGCCCAGGGAUGGGCCAAAAGCCCCAUAUCCAUUCCUAUACUUCUGUGCCGUGGCUUAGUGCCCUCCACCACCAUGCUACCAGCCCAUGCGGGAAAAAAUGCCCCGUCCUAAGCAGUGCCAAGUCAGGGGCCAAUCUCAAGGGGGGCAUGUGCCCCCGUGUUCCCCCUACCAGUCGCCUGUGCACCCAACUGCACAUAGUAAUAGAGUAAUUAUUUAGAAAUGCUCCCUAACUAAAGAGGCUGAGGAAGCUGGUAACUGGGGGACAGUCCCUUAGUUAAGUAGUUAGAAAGAUAAAGCAACAAUAAAGCUCGUUGUUUGGUUCUUCCCAUUUAUGCUUGCCUGCCAUCAUUGAACUGGGUGAUCACUAAACUACAGACUUGUUAACUUAAUGCCAAUCCUUAGUUAAAUAAUGGGACGGUUAAUUCAGGAAUCUACAGACAAAGAGUUUGGAAGCUACCACUGAUAGCCUACCAGUAUAAUUAAUGCCAGUCAGUUUCAUAGAAUAUAGUUGCUGUCAAACUACUUUUGACAGGAUGACAGGUCUAAUUAACAGGAUACUGAUAUAUACUUGGAUUUAUCCAAGGCACUGGAGGGAUUUUUUGUCCCUGCUGACAAAGUCAUAAUAAAAAAAAUCCAAUGCCUGUAAGUUGAAGUUAGAUAAAUUCAACUCUGAGGGCACAGUCAGAAGUGACAAAUUUCAUCCAAUCUGGCCACAGAAGGUGAUCUAUAACAGUAACCAAACACAAGUGCAUGGCUGCGGCCAGCUUAAAAAAUGGCAGAUUGGGCAAAAACCUGAACCCUCAUGCAAUGAGAGCUCAAAUGAAGAUCUUUCAAAAUGUAGCCUCUUCUGUAACUUGUGUCUGCCUUCCUGCCAGCCUUGAAUUGUUUUCAGAAUGGGAGGGGGAAAGAAAGCAGAGGGAAUUCAGUCUGGAGUUUUUUCAGCCCCUGCUGGAGAGUGGCGCAGGUGUAUUAGGGCUCCAAUUUACUCACCUCACCUGCCAGCACCAGCUGGGGAACCCCUAGAAUGAGCUCCCUCUGCUCCCUUUCCUCCCUCCCCAUUCUGAAAACAGUGCAGGCUGGCAGGAAAGAGAGGUUGUUGCGGGGGGAAACUGGUUGUAGGUAGUAGAUUCUCCGGCCCUGCCCCCAGAACCAAGAGUGAACUUCUGUUUGGUCCGGGGGGUCGUUGUAACUCAGAACGCUUCCUGCAAAACAUUCUGAGUUACAGCAGGGACCUGCACUUCUGUCUGUGCCCUAGAAACUGGGGUCCUAGGAGCAAGGACAAUUAAAUUACCAGGGAAGAAGUGGAUUUACCAUCUCUUGGAAUCUUUUAGAAAAAAGAUCUAAUCCUGCCUUAAUGAUAAUCCACCUUUCUGGGCAUAUUCUUCAGCCUCUAUUUGGAGCAGGGACUGGAAGUGAAGGGAGAAACCCGAGUCCCACAUCUACUUCCCUGAGAACGAAAAGGUUUACCUGGAAUUGCUCUUAGUAUGCUCAUUAUUUAAAGCUCUGUGUUAAGGCAGAAUUUAAAAUCAAAUUUCAUGCUUCAGGGCUUUAACCAAUUGCCUGUAGGAUUCUGGAAGGAUUUUUAAAAUUUUAAUGUAUAAUGCAUAUUUUCCUUGUUUUCCUUUCCCUGCCUUCUCUUGAAACAGAAACUGUCUGGAGUCAGGAUUCAGGGUGGGUGGGCCACUGCUCUGAGGCAAUGAAGAGAAAUCUCUUGAGAGCCUGGCUCAUAGAUCUUGCUCACAUGCUCAGUCAUCCUGAUCACCAGGGUGGGGUUGGGGCUGCAAAGCAAUUUUCUCCCAGUCACAUUGGCAAUCAUGGGCAACUGGUGCCACCUGAGUCACAUGCCCCCCCAGCGACCAGUCAGCGAUCAGGGAGGGGGAGGGCCCCCCACAGCUGAUUGUACUGACCUGCAGUGCUCCCAGAAGUGCUAGUGGUGCAUCACCUGGAGCCCCCACUCCCCAGCCAGCGCUCACAGGGGGAACACCAGCGCUCCUGCCUGCUCCCCCGCCCGUUGCCUAAGCAGGGAGGACAGCCUGUCAGGGGGUGCACCAGUGCUCUCGGGGGGUGCAUGUGUACCCCCAUGCACCCCUUAAGUGUUGCCACUGUUGGCAAUAAUAUGGAGUUUUUUCCACUUUUGUCUGUGUCAUGGUUUGCCUGCUGUAAGUCUCUGGGCAUCUCUUCAUUAACUUACUACCAAGACAGGGACAUCGUUCAUUGACUCUGUUUUAAUCUUCCUUGUUCUUUAUUGGGGGCAGCUUAUUCUUUGGGCUUCAUAUAAUGCAUUUGGAUGGAAUUGUAUGCAGGAUACACAAGAUGUCAGACUGGACAAGCUAAUUGUCAUUUUUUUAACAUUUUACCCUUUUAUCUUCAUUUCUGUUAAGCUAUCGUUGCAAGGAACUCUGUCUCACUGGUUUUCAAAGUUAUUGCUUUCAGGACUGAUGUCACUGAUGUAAGACAGAGCAAACUUAAGGCUGCUCUCCCAGUGCAAGAUGAAAGAACCUUAACUGCCCACUUUCAUUUUCCCUUCACCCCUGGACAUAGCACAGCUUAGAAACUGUGGAGAAUUAACUCAAAAGUAUCAACAAAACUAGCAGUGCCCAAACCACUGAAAAGUGAAAAAAAUGAAAGAAAAUAUAAAGUAAAAUCAUGUAAAUCAUAUCAGUGUGUGUGAAAUGAAAGUAAAGAAUAAUUUGUGUAAGGCUCCUCUGGAUGUCCUGCCUGGUGCAUAUCAGCCACUAUCAUUUAGUUAUGAUGAUGUAUUGCUUCUAACUAUUCCCUUUAUCAGCUGACUAUGUUGUUAGUGGAUAGCCUGCAGGAAAGUGGACCUAAACUCCAGUGCAAGAUAAAACAUAGCAAAACAAAA